CCACCAACCUCUCUAAACCCUUUAGAAAAUGUAGAAUAAUUCCACUUAUCAUUCCCAUUCAUCAGACUUCAUAAUCAGUCAAAUUCAGAAUAUCACAUUUGAACUUCGCACUUUUCCACGUCAAAAGAGCAAUGCACUUUCGACCUUCCGGCUGUUUGUUUACUCUUAUAACCAAUCAAGGACCUCACACUCUUAAAAAGAUGUGGGUUAGCUCCAGAUCCCAAUCCCACAUUCGAAUUUCGCAAUUGACCAAGUUCAACGUAUUAGAGUUGAUAAUGCAUUUGGAAUGCACUUUUCCAC
rnacentral:lncRNA from 1 species